ACAAAAACAAGAAAACAGAGGUCAGAUGGUAGUGCAUGUCAUUGUAUCAACACUGUAUUUCAGAUUUGCAGACGUAUGGAAUUACAUCCUCAUUCCUCCCUUUCAAAGAUCAAAACUUUGAAUCAAAAUUCACAAAACUGAAGAAGAAUUAGGAUCAGAAAAUAUGGCAAAUCAAUCACGAAGAUCAGACUGGGUGUCACAAAACAUUAUUGCCAUUUCAUCAUAUCCAUACACAACCAUUAUAACAGAAUCAUAAUAAACGAUUUGAGAGAAUCAGACAAAAAUAGUCAAUCACCAUGUUACAACCAUCGUAAUGGAUGCAGAUUAAGCCUGGGGCGACAAUUUCAUAUCAUCACUUUCCUCAAAAACAUUAAACGAAUUACGAAAAUAACAAAAUCUAAGCUAUACGAAGAAGCAUAGACACCAACAACACCUAAUUCACUAAAUCUACCGAAUGAGAGAUAAAAAUCAAAACUUUAUUUGGCCGUCGAUAAUUUAUUGGAUGAAGAGGAGGUUAGGGUUUA